GUAAAGUAAUAGCUAACCUUCCUGAGGCCUUGCACCUUUGGUCUCUUUGUUGGAAAUACAAUGGACAACCCAACUCCAUAUUAACGAGAGCUGAUCAGCCGCAGUGAAGUAACCUGAGGUGUGUUCUAUGUUCCAGUGCAGGAGUCUAGCUAGAAGGACCUUGAAGGGAAUAGGACUUAUCUUCCUACUCGACAUGGGCAUGGUCAAGCUCUGCAGUGAUAAUUGUAGGUGUAAAUGUGGUGAGCAAGAGUCAAUGAGGAAAUGUUGCAACUUCCAACGUGAACUACAUGGCAUAUUGAUGAAAGUUAACUACGGAAGGAGAAGGAGAAUUUGACCACUCAAGUGAAAUGGACAAACUCCUAGAAAGACACUGUAACUGAUUCAAGAAGAAUUAGGAAA